rnacentral:rRNA from 1 species
CGUGUAGGCGGGGGACAAGUCUGAUGUGAAAGCCCUGGGCUUAACCUGGGAAGCGCAUUGGAAACUGUUUUUCUUGAGUACUGGAGAGGAAGGGGGAAUUCCCGGUGUAGAGGUGAAAUUCGUAGAGAUCGGGAGGAAUACCAGUGGCGUAGGCGCCCUUCUGGACGGUAACUGACGCUGAGACGCGAAAGCGUGGGGAGCAAACA